GACGAACUGUCCUAACGUUGUUCGGAAUCACUGGGCUUAAAGGGCGCGUAGGCGGUUCCUCAAGUCCGUUGUGAAAGCCCCGGGCUCAACCUGGGAAUGGCAGUGGAAACUAGGGGACUGGAAUCUGGCAGAGGGGGGUGGAAUGCCGCGUGUAGCAGUGAAAUGCGUAGAGAUGCGGCGGAACACCGAUGGCGAAGGCAGCCCCCUGGGCUAACACUGACGCUCAGGCACGAAAGCGUGGGGAGCAAACAGG
rnacentral:rRNA from 1 species